rnacentral:rRNA from 1 species
CCCUUAGAUGUCCUGGGCUGCACGCGCGCUACACUGAUGUGUCCAGUAAGCACCUAACCUCUUCCGAAAGGAACGGGUAACCUUUGCAAAGCACAUCGUGAUGGGGAUAGAUUAUUGCAAUUAUUAGUCUUGAACGAGGAAUUCCUAGUAAGCACAAGUCAUCAGCUUGUGUUGAUUACGUCCCUGCCCUUUGUACACACCGACCGUCGCUCCUACCGAUUGAAUGUUCCGGUGAGCUCUUCGGACUGCGCGGUCUGCAGUUUCUGCGUUCCGUGCGGAAAGUUGCGCAAACCUUAACAUUUAGAGGAAGGAGAAGUCGUAACA